CGCUCAGGUGGCCUAGUGGUUAUAGCAUCCGCCUUGGAAGCGGGAGGUGGCGGGUUCGAACUCAGCCGAGUCA